AGCAAGAAAGACGUUGUUCUCAAGGCCAAGCAGAUUUGUCAAACUGCUAUGCCUUUUGCGUGGGAAUGGGGCCUCCUUCCCCUCAGUUUCUCUAACCGUCCGACCCAAGAAGUAAGAGAUUGCGCAAUUUGGGGUUGUCUUUGCCGGUAAGUUUCUGCUUUUGCUAACCAUCUUUUUUACCUUGUUUCAGGCCAGGGACCGCUUCCCCUCUAUCCAGGCAGAGCCGCGAGGACCUCUCCGGAAGCGUGCCUUUGACUCCUUCGACCCGGAUCCCUACAUCUUUUGGAAGGAUCUGAAGAUGGGGAAGACUCCGGCUGCGCGCCUUGGCCGGGACCCGCCGGAGCCCACCGGAAAUCCGGAGGAGCUGGUUGUGCUCGAGGUCACCGCUGACACUCGGAAGGCCCUCUUCGAGGAGCUUUUAUGGGAGCACCGGGAGCUCGCUGAGGCACACGACAAGUGCCAAGUGAUCCCGGAAGCUUCCAUCGAUGCUCUCAAGGAGCAGCUCGCCACGGCCCAACG